rnacentral:rRNA from 1 species
AAAAAUUUAAAUUAAUUUACUAAAAAAUUAAUAGUUAUGUUCUUUAAAUUUAAAAAAUUUGGCGGUAUUUUAGUCUUAUUAGAGGAAUCUGUUUAUUAAUUGAUAAUCCACGAUUAAUUUUACUUAUUUUAAUUAAUUCAUAUAUCGCUGUCAUGAAUAUAUUUUAAAAAAUUUAUUUUCUUUAAUUAUUUUAAUAAUUUAUGUUAAGUCAAGAUGUGGUUUAUAAAUAAGAAUAUAAUGGAUUACAUUAAAUUUUAUUUUUGGAUUUUAAAUGAAAAUUAAAAUGAAAUUGGAUUUAAUAGUAAGUUUAAUUAUUUUAUUAAUAUGAAUAAAGAUCUA